rnacentral:rRNA from 1 species
CAGUAGCCGCGGUAAAACAGAGGGUGCAAGCGUUAAUCGGAUUUACUGGGCGUAAAGGGCGCGUAGGUGGUUAUGUAAGUGAGAUGUGAAAUCCCCGGGCUCAACCUGGGAACUGCAUCUUAUACUGCGUAGCUGGAGUGCAGUAGAGGGUAGUGGAAUUUCCGGUGUAGCGGUGAAAUGCGUAGAUAUCGGAAGGAACACCAGUGGCGAAGGCGGCUACCUGGACUGACACUGACACUGAGGCGCGAAAGCGUGGGGAGCAAACAGGAUUAGAUACCCCCGUAGUCCCUGUCUCUUAUAC